GCCAGGUGCAGUAGUGCACGCCUGUAAUCCCAGCAGCUCGGGAGGCUGAGACAAGAGGAUCAAGAGUUCAAAGCCAGCAUUAGCAAUGGCAAGACACUAAGCAACUCAGUGAGACCCUGUCUCUA
rnacentral:sRNA from 1 species